UUCUCUUUAUGCGAAAGGCCAUGCAUGCACCUACAUUAAUUUCUCUACCUUUUCUCUCUCUCUCUAUAUAUAUAUGUAUUCACGUACAAGUAUAUAAUAUCAGCCAUGAAGAAGGAGAGAUGUAACAUAAUAUAUAUAUAUACAUAUAUGAGGGGUUGGGGGAGUCCUGUCGCAGGAGCGGUGGCACCUCCGGCCUCUGUGUAGAAAAGAUGCCGCAAGUGCCAUCAUCCUAUGACAAGACACACCUGUAACUUCUCUCUUCUCAAGAAAUAUUUUACUGGAGUUCCAACUUUAUGCUUUUUGUUUCCUUUGGCUGUAUGCAAUGUAAGUAGCUAGUCUCUCUUUGGUUGCUGAUCAGAAGAACAUCAAUUUCUUCUUCUUCUUCUACUUGCUCCCGGCCUUUGUAUGAUCUUCUUCUUGUAAAAUGUGUACACAUAUACCAUCUUCUUGGAAAAUUGUUUUCUCUCUAUCCGUGCUUUCUGCUAUUGUUAUUUUAAUGAUCUGCUUUGUUAUUGGAAAAUACAAUAUGACAUUUGUUUUUCAUUUCUUUGUUACAGCUCUUAUUUAUUAUUGCAAUGUACAGUGAAGGUAAGAAUUAGCCUUAAUCAAACUAUACUCUUUCAAAUUAAAUCUUAUAGUCUCUAAUUUCUAUUAGUUCCUUUGUAGCUGCUUGCCUGCAUCAUUAUCUCCUCCCAGUUGCAAAUGCUUUAUUUUAUGUUAAACAUAGUUUACUUGUAUUUCUGAUUGUUUCUUUGAAGGUAUGUAUAGUUGCUUCAAUAGGUAAAACUUAUUUAUUUUAUUACUGGUUUUGCACCAAUAGUUUAUCUACUGAUAUAUAUUAUAUAUAGAUUGAUUUCUUGACUUUGUCAAGCUAGAUUAUCCGUCUUCAGAUAUAUAUUUUUGAAUUUGAUCAAUCCAGC
rnacentral:lncRNA from 1 species